AUUAUUGUAUAACAAGAGCCACUCGGGGCUGUCGCUGACCCUAGAGGUUGUGCACGCUUCGAGUGUUCUCAUUUACACAUCCAUCUCACCCUUUGUGCAUCACCGCGUGGGUCCCUUUUUGUCGAUCCAAAAGGUGGCUCACGUUUUUACACAUACGCUGUCAUUGUGAAUGUCUUGCUUUUGCGGUUAUAUGCAAUCAAUACAACUUUCAACAACGGAUCUCUUGGCUCUCGCAUCGAUGAAGAACGCAGCGAAAUGCGAUACGUAAUGUGAAUUGCAGAAUUCAGUGAAUCAUCGAAUCUUUGAACGCACCUUGCACCCCUUGGCAUUCCGAGGGGUACACCCGUUUGAGUGUCGUGAAAUUCUCAACCUUUCCAAUUUUCUUGAAAAGGUUUGGACUUUGGAGGCUUUUGCCGGUCUCUAUUUAUAGAGAGACCGGCUCCUCUUAAAUGAAUUAGUGGGGUUCUCUUUGCUGAUCCCUCGACGUGAUAAGAUUUCUCUACGUCCGAGGUGUUUGGCUCUAUAGACCUGCUUCUAAACAUAUCUCUCUACGUGAUUGAACCUUUUUGACCUCAAAUCGGGUGAGACUACCCGCUGAACUUAAGCAUAUCAAUAAGCGGAGGA
rnacentral:rRNA from 1 species